GUGCAGGAAAAAGGGAGCGGUGAGCAAUACGGCCAAGUCAGCCAGGGCCAAGUUCAACACCAUCAGGGCAGUGACUGACCGCUUCCGCAUCCUUUUCAGGAUGCUCCACACCACAAAGGUGUUGCCGGGAAGCCCCACAGCCAGCGACAUGGACAAAAGGAUCAUAGACAACAGAGACCUAAUUGCAAAAUAUACAGCGGCGGCAGCGGCAGCAGCAGCAGCAGGAGCAACAUUUCCAGACCUUUCCAGCCUCCUUCCCUUAGGAAAGGGCCCUCAAAUCCAGAAUCAAACUGGGAGACUUUCCUCACUGAAGGGACACCCUGUGAAAGAGGGGUUCCAUGGAUAAGCCUAGGGGAGCCAGGCCACCCAGACUGAGGAGGACAGGGCAGGAUGCCACUGAAGGCUGGCCACACUGUCCCUCCCUGGACUGGACCAGCUGGGAAGCAGGUGGCGUCCAUGCAAUUCAAGCUUGAUGAACCACCAAAGGGAGCACACUUAAGCCAUCAUCCUAUGGCUUCCAGUAUAUUUCGCAACAGCUACUGGCAACAGGAACCCUCGAAGAGCCGCAUGAGGAAACGAGGACCAGCCCGAGGCAGCAGAUCCCCAGCGGUGAAGACGUAGAGCACCGGGUUGACGCUGGAGCUGAAGAAGGCCAAGGCCGUGGUUCCAGCUCGGACUGCCUGUCCGGCCCCACCCAGCCUCGCCAAGGCCCCUUCGGGUGGAGCGAGUACGG